UGCGUAGGCGGAAUAUUAAGUCAGUGGUGAAAUCCUGCGGCUCAACCGUAGAACUGCCACUGAUACUGAUAUUCUUGAAUGUAGUUGAGGUAGGCGGAAUGUGUAAUGUAGCGGUGAAAUGCUUAGAUAUUACACAGAACACCGAUUGCGAAGGCAGCUUACUAAACUAUGAUUGACGCUGAUGCACGAAAGCGUGGGGAGCGAACAGGAUUAGAUACCCUGGUAGUCC
rnacentral:rRNA from 1 species